UUUGCUCAAUAGUUUACAAUUCAUCGUAGGCCAGGUGCAGUGGCUCAAUAGCCCUUAAAAAAUCCCUUAUUAUAGAGAUUUCCAAAUAGAUACAAAAUUAAAGAGAAUAUUGAACACUCCUGUACCUAUCACUGAACCUCAAUAAUUGUCAAUGCAUCACCAAUCGACAGCAGCCCUUUGGAAAUCGAGCCCUAGGAGGCUUGAGUGAUGCUGUGAGCACAGGGCUUGGGGGCUGGAAACUUUCAUUUCAGUGACCCUAGGAGCAGAGACCACCCCUUUGGAAGAUGAGCAAACUCACCUCUCCUUUCAUCCCUCCAUUCCCCCAACCACCUGUGUACUUAUCUCAUGCCAGGCACUGGAGCAGAGUGUUAUUUAUGCCUGCUUUGUUUCUGCUUACAAGAACUAGGAGACAUGAGCUGUCUCAUCCCGCUUGUGGGCAGAGAUUACACGGCAGUUCAGUGUGAUCCUAAAAGCAAGGGGGUGCUGUGAGUGUUGAGAAAGGAGCACCUACCUGUCCAGCAGAGUCAGGAGGGGAUUAUACAAACCUGAGACACAUCUUGGGGUACUACAUGUGCAAGGUGGGAAGCUAAAUGAAUCCUGAUGCCCACCCAAGAUCAGAGCCCUCGGGAGAGGUAGCAGGUGUGUGGGUGGGGGACAGUAGGAGCCGUGGACAGAGUUCAGUUUGGACACUGUUCUCUGGCGAGCAGACACACACUGGUUAGAAACAACUUUGGCCCCUAGUGCCUGGGCCAUCCACCCACAACAGGAACUGUUCACACACCUCUGGGCCAUCCUUGAUGUGACUAAGGUGGGCAAGCACCAUUUUAUAGAAGAGUAAAUGAAAGUCUAGAAGGAUUAAAAACCUUGACCCAACUCACGAGGCUGGUAAGUGGGGCAGCAGUUUUGGCCUGGGGUUGCCCAACUUCUAAGCCUAUGUUCAUUCUCCAGGCCCCCUACCUCUGCGGCCCCGCAGGAGACAGUCAUUACUGCUUUAACUGGACAGAUGAAUGGCAGCGCCAGGGCUGCCCAGAGGAAAGCGGGGAGGGGAAAGACCUGCCAAACCCUACCCCGCCGACAGAGCACGAGACGGGGGACAGGCCAGGAGUUUGCUUCUCUCCUUGGUCUACAACAAAAAAAAAUUGGAUUUAGCCAACAAAAAACACUGGCAGGAACUUUACAGUUUAUAAAGCUUUUGCAUAAGUCACCU
rnacentral:lncRNA from 1 species